rnacentral:misc_RNA from 1 species
UGGCAGGAUACUGCUAGCACACCCACGUAAAACCCAAGCACGCGGCCAAUGAAGCGGAGAGUACUUCGCGCGCACGCUAAUAAGCGCUGCCUGCGCAUCUUGUCCGCUUCGCAUCUCAUUCAAACAUCGUCUUCUUCCUUUUUGUCCUCGGCGGCCAGCGGCGACCGUGGCUACGCUGUCUUGUGCGAUGCGUCCUUCCUUCGAGCGGUUCUCCUGUCGUACUGGCAGGCCAACGCGCCUGCCAUAUGGCGCGAGGCUCGUCGCCGCAAGCUGCGUAAGGCCGCCGCUGUUACCAGCGCAAACGAGUCCACGCGCGCGGGCGUGUCGUCGGAGAUCCCAGCGCCACUUGCGGCGGACAAGAUCGCAGCGGCCACCGCGGCCAGCAUCGCACGGCUGCCGUUUGGUGACUUGCCGGCGCUCUCCCCUCACGCCUUCCUUGUGGCACUGCUGUGCGACGCUUUUCAGGGCGAGCGUGGAAUCCGAUCGGUGAGCGGCAACUCUGCAGCAGCUGUGGCGGCCGCGACGCCACCUGUCGACUUCACCUCAGCUUCCAAGUUUCACUGCUACUGCUUACCGGAGACCGUGGCGGCCCUCCACCGCAUGCGCUAUCACGGCCCAACCUCGGCAGUCUCCGCGACGGCCUUGGCGAACCCGUGCCCGCCAAACUCGAGUGUCGUCGACGCUUCGUUGACCAGAGCGCAGAAGAAGAGCGGCGCCAAUUCGAAGCGGCAGAGACCACCCACUCCUCUGCCGUCGACAACGUCGCCGCGGUCGGAGCAGCACCAUCGGAUGACCGAAACGGAAGCGUGGCUGUCUGCGUCGUUUGGCAACUUAGCAACGAUGCGCGACAGCAACGGCGACGGCGUCGGCGCGCGACGGCACGCUGGGCCGUCCCCCUCCUCCGCCGCCUUCCCGCUAACAUUCCAGGAGGUGCCGGCGGCGGUGGUGAACCACCUGCUGAGCCGCAUCACGCUGAUUCAGUCCGAGGAGCAGCGGCAUCGUGAUGCUGCCGCCGUUGAGAGUCCUGAAGUAAGCAGGUCGCCGGAGAUGGCCGACGGUGCCCCGCUACCCACGCGCAACGAGUGCAGGGCCAUUGGUGAGUUUAUGCUUGCUAACGAUAGCCUCCUCGGUCGUGGCCCACGUGAGGGCGUUGACGCCUCUGCGUGUGACCCGAGUGCUCUGCGACUGGCCUCGAUGCCGUUGUUUCGCGACCACCGCGUGGCGACGUACUCGCCACAGGGCGCCGCGGCAAAGCGCCGCCGCCGGCGCCGCAGGAACCGCACGGCCGCCGGCGGCGGCGAUGACGUGGGCGAAUUACCGAGUCUCGCUACGGCGAAUGCAGCGCUUGCAGGGCCGCAAGAAGCGCGAGGGAACGGUGCCAGUGCGACCCCCUCCACCACAUCACGCCCAUAUUCUCCCCGCACAUUCUUUGUGGCUACGCAGAGCCACGACGUGCGACGCCGUCUCGCGGCCGUGACACCACUGCUGCGAUUGACCACAAACCCAGAUGCGCUGUGGAUUGAACAACGAGGAACGGCGUACCAGUAUGGUGAGGAGGGCGCCGAAGCUCGACGACCACAUAUAGGCAUGAAAGGGCCGGGUAACUGCUCCUCAUUGUCUGUGGCGGCCGCAGCGUCUUCACGGGGCGGCCGGGGAAGCAGUGAGCCUGGGCCGUCACGGUCUGCGAGAUUCUCCCACACGCUCUCGUCCCCGCAUGCGGCUACGGCGACCACGACGGUGAUCGCAGCCGCGCCGCAGCUUUCACGAGCCGAUGUCGCCUUCAUGAAGCACCUUGGCACCGCGGCUGAGGUGCCACUGCCGGCAAAGCCCUCUCAUCAUCCGCACCAGCAGGAGCAGCAGCAGCUGCAGCCGCGCGCGUCGCCGGCAUCCGACAACGGAGUGAGCGACAGGGCACCGGCAGACCGAAAGCGGCGACGCCAGAAGGGGCAGAAUCCGCUGUCUAUGAAGAAGAAGCAGAGGCGAGAGGUGUUCCGCGCCCACUGAGUUAAAGUGGUCCGCCUCUGGCCGUCAUCUGCAUCUCAGACGCUCACGCACGCGUUCCCCGCCGCCUCAUCUGUACGCAGUCACCGCCGGCGCGUGCGCUGUAUCGUGUGUGCGUGCGUGCGCGCGUGUGUAUUGUUGUGCCGUUACAGCCUCACUUCGCACUUGCGGCUGCUUUUUCUCGUCCCUCCCUCGCGUCUAUCGCUCUUCCUAGUCCCGAACUGCUGCGCUUCUUCUCCACGCGGAGGGGUCGUCGGCGAGGACACCCGAGAGGGCGCUUGCAGCGCCGCAUAUGCGAGCGAAAUGUGGACCAGGGAGGGGGAGGGGCUUCCUUCGACAUCGACCCAACCUCGUCUGCGUGACGGCGUCGUUCGUUUACGCUGAUAGCAACGACGUAAUAAUAAAAAAAAACGAGGAGGAUCAGCAUUGCGUGCCGCUUCCAGGUGCUUGGUGUGUGGUGGUGGUGGUGUGCUCGCGCAUGAAGCAAGAGCAGAGAGAGAGGACGAGAGAUCGGCGGACGAAAAGCGUCGAAAUCGUCUUCGCUUGCCGGCCCACACAUCAGUG